rnacentral:rRNA from 1 species
UUGUCCUACGGGGGGCAGCAGUGGGGAAUAUUGGGCAAUGGGCGCAAGCCUGACCCAGCAACGCCGCGUGAAGGAAGAAGGCUUUCGGGUUGUAAACUUCUUUUCUCAGGGACGAAGCAAGUGACGGUACCUGAGGAAUAAGCCACGGCUAACUACGUGCCAGCAGCCGCGGUAAUACGGAGGUGGCAAGCGUUAUGCGGAUUUACUGGGUGUAAAGGGCGUGUAGGCGGGAAAGGAAGUCAGAUGGGAAAACCAU